GAUGAAGAACGUAGCGAAAUGCGAUAAGUAGUGUGAAUUGCAGAAUUCCGUGAAUCAUCGAAUCUUUGAACGCACAUUGCACCUCUCGGUAUUCCGGGAGGUAUGCCUGUUCGAGCGUCAUUUGUACCCUCAAGCUCUGCUUGGUGUUGGGUGUUUGUUCCGCCUCUGUGUGUGAACUCGCCUCAAAACAAUUGGCAGCCGGCGUACUUGUUUCGGAGCGCAGCACAUUUUGCGAUCCAGAUCAACGUACAGCGGCAUCCAAGAAGCCUUAUUUAACGCUCUUGACCUCGGAUCAGGUAGGGAUACCCGCUGAACUUAAGCAUAUCAAUAAGCGGAGGA
rnacentral:misc_RNA from 1 species